AGUUCGGAUUGCAGGCUGCAACCCGCCUGCAUGAAGUUGGAAUCGCUAGUAAUCGCGGAUCAGCAUGCCGCGGUGAAUACGUUCCCGGGCCUUGUACACACCGCCCGUCACACCAUGAGAGUCGGGAACACCCGAAGUCCGUAGUCUAACCGCAAGGAGGGCGCGGCCGAAGGUGGGUUCGAUAAUUGGGGUGAAGUCGUAACAAGGUAGC
rnacentral:rRNA from 1 species